rnacentral:rRNA from 1 species
GGGCUUGACAUCCCACGAACCUGCCUGAAAGGGUAGGGUGCCCGCAAGGGAGCGUGGAGACAGGUGGUGCAUGGCUGUCGUCAGCUCGUGUCGUGAGAUGUUGGGUUAAGUCCCGCAACGAGCGCAACCCUCACCCCUAGUUGCCACCGGGUAAAGCCGAGCACUCGAGGGGAACUGCCAGCGUCAAGCUGGAGGAAGGCGGGGAUGACGUCAAGUCAUCAUGCCCCUUACGUCCUGGGCUACACACGUGCUACAAUGGCCAGUACAGAGGGAUGCGAGACCGCGAGGUGGAGCUAAUCCCAAAAAGCUGGUCUAAGUUCAGAUUGCAGUCUGCAACUCGACUGCAUGAAGUAGGAAUCGCCAGUAAUCGCGCAUCAGCACGGCGCGGUGAAUACGUUCCCGGGCCUUGUACACACCGCCCGUCACACCACGAAAGCUGGCUGUACUCGAAGUCGCUGAGA